UGGGGAAUAUUGCACAAUGGACGGAAGUCUGAUGCAGCAACGCCGCGUGCGGGAUGACGGCCUUCGGGUUGUAAACCGCUUUCAUCCAUGACGAAGCGAGAGUGACGGUAGUGGGAGAAGAAGCACCGGCUAACUACGUGCCAGCAGCCGCGGUGAUACGUAGGGCGCGAGCGUUGUCCGGAUUUAUUGGGCGUAAAGAGCUUGUAGGCGGUUUGUUGCGUCGGGAGUGAAAACUCAGGGCUUAACCCUGAGCCUGCUUUCGAUACGGGCAGACUUGAGGAAGGUAGGGGAGAAUGGAAUUCCUGGUGAAGCGGUGGAAUGCGUAGAUAUCAGGAGGAACACCAGUAGCGAAGGCGGUUCUCUGGACCUUUCCUGACGCUGAGAAGCGAAAGCGUGGGGAGCAAACA
rnacentral:rRNA from 1 species